GACUUUAAAACGGCCCGCCAGAGGAGAUCAGACUUGCAGAGCCCAGUGUGCAAUGCUUCAUGACAAACUUACCACCCAGCGCAGCCACAGGCUGGUCUCACUGGCUGUGCGCAGCGUGACAUUAGCCGGGGAGAUGUCUGGAGGGGCCUGCAGGGUCUCGAUCUUCCUGGAGGGCUGGCUCGGCGGACUGGUGCCCACAAUGUUUACCUGACGCAUUCGAAACCUGGAGCGAGGAAGAAACAGCUGAUGCUGGAUAAACGAGUCUAAAGGUCACACCUACCCGUUCACACCCAUGACAGAUUGGCAGACUGAAGGUUGCUAUGCAAAGUAACAAUCAGAAGCAACUAAUCCCAUUCAGACACAUUCACCUCACGUCUACCAAGCAAUUUGGGGUUAAGUGUCUUGCCCAAUUGGACAUGUGGCUGCAGGAGCUGGGGAUCGCACCCCCAACCUUCUGGUUAAGAGAUGACAGACUCUACCAACUGAGCCACAGCUGUUGGUAUAAAAGUGAUCUGUGCUACCCAACAUUUUCUGUCUAUUUUCUCACAUUUUUUGUCCCUAUUCAUUAUUUGAGACCUAAUCAUACCAAAAGCAAUACAAAUAAA